GUGUCAGCCGCCGCGGUAAGACAGAGGGGGCAAGCGUUGUCCGGACUUACUGGGCGUAAAGGGCGCGUAGGUGGUCGUGCACGUCGGCGGUGAAAUCGCCCGGCUUAACCGGGCAGGGUCUGCCGAUACGGCGCGACUAGAGGUUUCCAGAGGGUGGUGGAAUUCCCGGUGUAGUAGUGAUAUGCGUAGAACUCGGGAGGAACACCCGUGACGAAGGUAGCCACCUGGGGAAGACCUGACACUGAGGCGCGACAGCGUGGGGAGCGAACCGAAUUAGAAACCCGUGUAGUCC
rnacentral:rRNA from 1 species